GAUGAACGCUGGCGGCGUGCCUAAUACAUGCAAGUCGAGCGAACGGACGAGAAGCUUGCUUCUCUGAUGUUAGCGGCGGACGGGUGAGUAACACGUGGAUAACCUACCUAUAAGACUGGGAUAACUUCGGGAAACCGGAGCUAAUACCGGAUGAUAUUUUGAACCGCAUGGUUCAAAAGUGAAAGACGGUCUUGCUGUCACUUAUAGAUGGAUCCGCGCUGCAUUAGCUAGUUGGUAAGGUAACGGCUUACCAAGGCAACGAUGCAUAGCCGACCUGAGAGGGUGAGCGGCCACACUGGAACUGAGACACGGUCCAGACUCCUACGGGAGGCAGCAGUAGGGAAUCUUCCGCAAUGGGCGAAAGCCUGACGGAGCAACGCCGCGUGAGUGAUGAAGGUCUUCGGACCGUAAAACUCUGUUAUUAGGGAAGAACAUAUGUGUAAGUAACUGUGCACAUCUUGACGGUACCUAAUCAGAAAGCCACGGCUAACUACGUG
rnacentral:rRNA from 1 species